rnacentral:rRNA from 1 species
UACGGAGGGGACUAGCGUUGUUCGGAAUUACUGGGCGUAAAGCGCGCGCAGGCGGUCCUUUAAGUCUGAUGUGAAAGCCCACGGCUCAACCGUGGAGGGUCAUUGGAAACUGGGGGACUUGAGUGCAGAAGAGGAAAGCGGAAUUCCACGUGUAGCGGUGAAAUGCGUAGAGAUGUGGAGGAACACCAGUGGCGAAGGCGGCUUUCUGGUCUGUAACUGACGCUGAGGCGCGAAAGCGUGGGGAGCAAACAGG